CGUAUUUCCACUGCAAUACAAACAUCAAUUUUUCAUGUUUGUUGAGUACAUUUUUCAUGAAAUUUAUUCAUUCCAUGGAAACUGCUCUCAGUAUGUUUUCAUUCCGCUGGGAAUUUAAGGAAUAUAACAAGUUAUAAUGGGUGUCUAUGCCUAUCUCUAUCUCUUUCUGUAUAUACCUAAACGAGGGUAUACCAAAAACAUGAAUAUGUAGUUUUUACUGGAAUCGAAACCAAUGAAAAACAGGAUCGAUCCAAUCGCAUUGAAGCCCUAGAGGUAUCCACCAGAGAGUAGAGUGAAUUCGAAUGAAUCCGUUACUAGAACAAGUGCGGAUUUUGUGAAGAUCCCGGGUACCUACAGGAAACUGAAAUCUGAAGAGUGCCACAGCUGCAUUAAGGAAAACUCGACUCCUAAGAAGUAUUUGCUUGAGGUGAUCUUCAUUUGCUGGAGCUGACCCUAGUAUUUCAGAUUUGGGCCUCUCCUGCUGUAAAGGAAUGCUGCAAUGGAACCUGGAUGCUGAAAUCAUGUUGUGGUAUGACUGGGAUCCUCUUCAACCUCCAACAGUCUUGUUGUCCGUUGCUUUCUUUGAGGGAUAACCAUGUUCUUGGAAACUCCUUGCAAGUUUACAAGCAUUCUUAAGGAUUGUUCCAAAUCCAUGGCUCCUUUGAGGAGUUCGUGCCCGAUUUCAACAGAGAAUUUUUCAGAAUUUAAGCCAUCAUAGCAACCAGUGAAGAUUUGAUUCAGCUUCUCCGCACCAUUCGAGAUCUCUUGUAUGUGCAGAAGUGAAGGAGUAGGAAAUCGACCACUUGAAGGUAUAUCUGACCUUCUAUCCACCUCCACCAAAUCCACUUUUCCAAUGUGAUGCAGGAAAGUCGUCGAAGAGUUUUCUGAUGACCCCAUCCUCUUGUGUUUCCCGUUGUUCUUCAGCGCAAAAGCAAGUGCCAUGGACAAAUCAGCUACAUUUUCAGAGCUACGAUCUCUGCCACGACCUAUUAGCGUAAUCUGUUUUGAAGAUUCUUUUGUAGAGAAUGAUGAAUCUUGCCCCUUAUCAUACCAUCCGUUCACUAAUGGCUAGUAGAACCAAUCUGCAAACGCUAACCAGCUUAAUAGCUUUUCGUAUAUGGAUAAAAGACUCGUGAAAAAACGAAUAAGAGAAUAAUGAAAUAAGACAAAGAAAGUGAACAACAAAAGAACAAAAAUGAAAUGGAUAAACUUACACUUACGUAGGGGUUUGUUUCUUUUGAUCCUUGAGAAGCUUGCUUGAAUUUUCGAUAUGUAUCUGUCCAUUUGAGUUUUAAAGAACAAUGUGUCGUUAUGAAACACGAAAUGAAAAUGUUACAUUUGGUUGCAGAUUUGUUCAGGGGAUAAGACUUAUCAUGGAGUUUUGUAUCGAAAACUUGCGAGUAAAAACUAAUUUAUAGGUUACCUUGAUAA